AUCUUUUUUUGGAUAUUAAACUUGAUAAGAAUGCUGUUCUUAUCAGCUUAAUAUCUGAUAUGUCGGGCAAUGCCCGACUCUUAUAUUAAAGUGAUUGUUGGAUAUAGGCCAUUGGAUUGGAGCUUGCUUCGCCCUGGCCACGGGUUGUCUCGGUGUUGCACUACCUCCGAGUUCGGCCCGAGUUCG